UACGGAGGGUGCAAGCGUUGUCCGGAAUCACUGGGCGUAAAGGGCGCGUAGGCGGCUCGGUAAGUAGGGGGUGAAAUCCUGCGGCUCAACCGCAGGGCUGCCUUCUAAACUGUCGAGCUUGAGCACGGUAGAGGCAGAUGGAAUUCCCGGUGUAGCGGUGGAAUGCGUAGAGAUCGGGAAGAACAUCAGUGGCGAAGGCGGUCUGCUGGGCCGUUGCUGACGCUGAGGCGCGACAGCGUGGGGAGCAAACAGG
rnacentral:rRNA from 1 species